AUUGAACGCUGGCGGCAGGCCUAACACAUGCAAGUCGAACGAGUGGCGGACGGGUGAGUAAUGUAUGGGGAACUGCCCGAUAGAGGGGGAUAACUACUGGAAACGGUAGCUAAUACCGCAUACUCUCGGAUGUGCCCAUAUGGGAUUAGCUUGUUGGUGGGGUAAAGGCUCACCUAGGCGACGAUCUCUAGCUGGUCUGAGAGGAUGACCAGCCACACUGGAACUGAGACACGGUCCAGACUCCUACGGGAGGCAGCAGUGGGGAAUAUUGCACAAUGGGCGCAAGCCUGAUGCAGCCAUGCCGCGUGUAUGAAGAAGGCCUUAGGGUUGUAAAGUACUUUCAGCGGGGAGGCGUUACCCGCAGAAGAAGCACCGGCUAACUCCGUGCCAGCAGCCGCGGUAAUUC
rnacentral:rRNA from 1 species